UACGUAGGGGGCAAGCGUUGUCCGGAAUCAUUGGGCGUAAAGCGCGUGUAGGCGGCUCGAUAAGUCUGCUGUGAAAGUCCAGGGCUCAACCCUGGGAUGCCGGUGGAUACUGUCGAGCUCGAGUCCGGAAGAGGCGAGUGGAAUUCCUGGUGUAGCGGUGAAAUGCGCAGAUAUCAGGAGGAACACCGGUGGCGAAGGCGCACACCUGGCCCGAUACUGACGCUGAGGCGCGAAAGCUAGGGGAGCAAACGGG
rnacentral:rRNA from 1 species